UACGGAGGAUGCGAGCGUUAUCCGGAUUUAUUGGGUUUAAAGGGUGCGUAGGCGGCCUGCCAAGUCAGCGGUAAUAUUGCGGGGCUCAACCCCGUACAGCCGUUGAAACUGCCGGGCUCGAGUGGGCGAGAAGUAUGCGGAAUGCGUGGUGUAGCGGUGAAAUGCAUAGAUAUCACGCAGAACCCCGAUUGCGAAGGCAGCAUACCGGCGCCCGACUGACGCUGAGGCACGAAAGUGCGGGGAUCAAACAGG
rnacentral:rRNA from 1 species